rnacentral:tRNA from 2 species
GCGAGUGUAGUUCAACGGUAGAACAAUGAAUUAUCUACUGCCCAACAGUAAAACCCCAAUAGAUGCAGGUUCGACCCCUGCCACUCGCG